rnacentral:rRNA from 1 species
UACAGAGGGUGCGAACGUUGCUCGGAAUUACUGGGCGUAAAGCGCGUGUAGGCGGCUAAGUAAGUCGGGCGUGAAAUCCCACGGCUCAACCGUGGAAGUGCACUCGAAACUGCAUAGCUAGAGUCCUGGAGAGGAAGGUGGAAUGCUUGGUGUAGAGGUGAAAUUCGUAGAUAUCAAGCGGAACACCGGUGGCGAAGGCGGCCUUCUGGACAGUGACUGACGCUGAGACGCGAAAGCGUGGGGAGCAAACAGG